AUUAUUAUUAUUAUUAUUAUUAUUAUUAUUAAGGUCAAAAGUGGUGCAAAUGAAAUAGUGCAAUAAUAGUACCAACAUUUCCUUGCAUUUCAGCAGUUACGUAUUGUAGACUGUAAACUUCUGCCUGCUUGUAUGACAAUUACACUAUAUGGCCAAAAGUUUGUGGACACCUGACCUUAAUACCCAUAUGUGCUUUUUGAACAUUCCAUUCCAGAUGUAUUCUUCCCUUUGUUGUUAUAAUAACUUCCACUCUUCUCGAGAAAGGCUUUCCACUAGAUUUUGGAGUGUGGCUGUGGGGAUUUGCUCAUUCAGAGCAUUAGUGAAGUCAGGCACUGGGGCACAGUUGGUUUAGUGAACAGUGGACUCGUUCAACAAAACAGACUUCAUGUGAAAAUGAUCUUUCCUUUACUUUCACACUAUCCGUCAUCACCCAGAUGAGGAUUGGUUCCUUUCUGAGUCUGGUUCUUCUCAAGGUUUCUUCCGCAUAUCAUCUUAGGGAGUUUUUCCUCGCCACCGGCUCGCUCAUUAGGGAUAAUUUCACACACAUAUAAUAUGUAUCCUGUGUUUAUAUGUUUCUGUAAAGCUGCUUGGAGACAAUUUCCAUUGUCAAACGCGCUAUACAAAUAAAAAUUGAAUUGAACUUAACUGAAUUGAAUUGUUCCAAUUCAUCCCAAUGGUGUUCAGUGUGGUUGAGGUCAAGGCUCUGUGUGCAGCCCACUGGAGUUCUUCCACUGCGACCUCGGCAAUCUAUGCCUUCAUGGACCUCACUUUACACUCGGGUAUUGUCAUGCUGGAACAGGUUUGGUCCUCUUAGCUCCAGUGAAGGGAAAUUGUAAUGCUAGAGCAUAAAGGCAUACUGUACAAUUGUGUGCUUCCAACUUUGUGGCAAAAGUUUGUGGAAGACUUUCAUAUGGGUGUGAUGGACAUUGUGUCCACAUACUUUUGGCCAUAUAGUGUAUUUCAUUUUGCAAAAUGUAUCGAACAAGGUAUUAAAACACAGGUUAGUAUUAUAAACGUUGGCUUACCCCACUGUGAGUGGAAACGCUCUUGGUUUUCAUGGCAACUUCUUUUACUUGCAGAGGCUGGAUUUGUCACAUAUUUUGCUGCACAGGGGUUGGUUAGGUGUUCAUGGAAGAGGUGGUUCUUUAGCUGUUUUUUGAAGAUACUGACAGAUUCUGCAGUCUGGACUGAGGUUGGAAGUUCAUUCCAUCACUGAGGGACAGAUACUGUGAAGGUUCUGGAAAGUUAUGCAGUAGUAUGCAUGUGACACUAUCUUUUUCUUUUUAAAUCUAUCCAUUAACAUUUAGUUAUUUAACAUACACUAGAUUUCCUCAAGCACACAACAAUAACUCUUUGCUCCUAGGAUUUAAUCUCAACCUUCCAGACAUUAGCAGAGAAUCUUAAAUGCUGAGCUAUCUAUUUAUCUAGACAACUACUCAGCAGUUGUAAUAAAUAAAUAAAUAAAUAAAUAAAAUGGUAAUGUAAUCACAUUGAACAAAACAAUAGAUAAGCAUUUAAUCUACACCUUGGGUUUUCUCUGCUCACUACACACCUGAUCAAGCUUGAAAUCUGAUUUGAUGUGAAAUCUGAUCAGCCUUGAAACCUGAACUAUUAAUCAACUACUCUAACUGUUCAUUCAUCCAAUUACCCAUCAGUCAGUACUUAAUGUGUGAGAACGUAAUCAAGUCUGAACAGCAGCAUUCACAACAAGACCCUGGAAAAGGUGGGGAGAUUGCCCUGAUGAAACACUAACCACAACACCCACACCACCUAGUGGAUGAACAUUUAAUGUCAAAUUCAAACAAGCUUCUUUUUAUAUUUGAUAAGGGUCUUCCGCAAUAAAUAUUUGAAUCAGUAUUCUGCAUUUUGUUGAAGAAAGGUUAAAUAAAGGUUUAAAGAAAGCUUUAUAAAUUCAGUUGUAUUUUCACAUCAUCAACCAGACAGAUAAUGGCAAGUUAGAGUGCCCUCCACUAACAGUGGCACCCUUGAUAAAUAUGAGUAAAGAAGGCUGUGAAAAUUUCCUUUAUUGUUUAACCUUUUGACGUUUUUGUUUAAAAACAAUCACAAAAAUACUCUUUUAAAAUUAAUCUUUGCUAAAUAUAGGUGUGCAAUGAUUAUUGGUACAUAUGAAUGCAUAUGAAAAAAAUAUAAUUGAAGUAUAUUCCCAUUGAUAUUUAAAAAAAUUUUCAUACUCUUGGGUGACUAGGAACAGGAAAUUGUUCAACCUUGACUUCCUGUUUCACAGGGAUAUAAAUAUGAGGUAACACACAGGCCAAAUUCCCUCAGUCGUACAUAACAAUGGGUAAGACCAAGGAAUAAAGCUGGGACGUGCAGAAAAAGGUUGUUGAGGUUCACAAAAUGGGAAGUGGCUAUAAGAAAAUAGCACAAGCAUUUAAAAUGCUCAUUUCCACCAUAAGAGCAAUAAUUAAGAAGUUCCAGUUAACUGGAAAUGUUAUGAAUCAACCUGGAAUUGGACGUGUGUCUGUAUUUUCUCAACACACUGUGAGGAGGAUGGCUCGAGUGGGAAAAAAAUCUCCAAGGAUCACAGCUGGAGAACUGCAGAAGUUAGUUGUGUCUUGGGGUCAGAAAGUCUCCAAAACCACAAUCCGAAGUCACCUACAUCACCACAAGUUGUUUGAAAGGGUUUCAUGAAAAAAGCCGCUACUCUCAUCCAAAAACAAACUCGAGCGUCUUCAGUUUGCCAGACAUUACUGGAACUUCAAAUGGGAUUGGUUUCUGUGGUCAGAUGAAACAAAAUAGAGCUUUUUGGCAAUAAACACCAGAGGUGGUUUUGGCACACAGAGAGGUAGCCAUAUGGAAAAGUACCUCAUGCCCACGGUUAAAUAUGGUGGUGACUCUUUAAUGUUUUGGGGCUGUUUUUCUGCCAGAGGACCUGGACAUUUUGUUAGGAUACAUGGCAUCAUGGACUCUGUCAAAUAUCAACAGAUAUUAAAUGAAACCCUGACUGUCUCUGCCAGAAAGAUUAAAAUGGGCUGUGGUUGGAUCUUCCAGCAGGUCAGUGAUCCAAAACAUACAUCAAAAUCAACACAAAAAUGGUUUACUGACCACAAAAUCAAGGUCCUGCCAUGGCCAUCCCAGUCCCCUGACUGAAACCCAUAGAAAACCUG
ensembl:lncRNA